UUUUUGUAUUCAAUUCGAUUGUGUCAAAAAUUUAACCUCGGUAAAAUAUUUAACACAAUUCACACACGAUCUAUAAAUCUGUCGUAUUUUUUUAAUUAAAUCCUUUCCCUCCCCCUACAUUUAUGUAUGCAUUUACACAUAUAUUCCAAAAAGUCUCCGAGCAGUUGCAAUUUUUUAAAUUUUGUUCUUAAAAAUAUCGAAUUUAUGCUAUAGAAACCUUUUGUACCAGGAAUAAAAGAGAGUAAGCCAACAAAUAAUUUUUCAACAAAAUUUAUACCAUUUUAUUUAAAAACUUUAAAUAACAAAAAUUCAUUACACGUAAACAAAAAAUAAGGAACAAAAAAGUAUCCGUACAGUUCAUUUUUUGAUUAAUUUUCGUUGAAAAAAACUUAACAAAAAUCACUUUACUUAAGGAAAAAUAAACUUAUAACUAGUAGGACCUCCCUGCAAUCUGUGUCUCAUCGAAUGAACAAGCUUGGCGGUCGUACCUAUCUGGAGAAAUUUUGUUCCAUUCGUCAAGUAGGAUCGUUUUGGGGUCAUUCUAAAUCGCUAUUGGGUGCUGACGAACCUUUUUUUCUACGUGAUUCCAUAGGUGCUCAAAACUGAAAGUUUGCACAUUGCAUCUGCUUUUUUGGUUCUUAGAGUAUUUCGAGAAACAAGGCAUUGUUCAACUCAACCAAAAAUACUCGAAGAUUGAGUUCAAGAAUGCAACCAAUGAUGACACAUCUAAAAGCUUCGUUAAAUUUAUAAUGUCAAACAAAAUAUUUCCACUAGAAAAUGAAAUGUCAUUCUUCUUCCAUCUAUCAACUUCAAUCGUCAACUCUAUUAAAUAUUGUUCAACGAAUGCUUUUAAUUUUUGUUCGAGAUACCUAUAAGAUUCGUAAAUUAAACCAAAGCUUUUCAAUCGUCAGGGUCCUACUCUAUCAAAAUGUCAAAGGAAAAGCAUAAAAGUCCUAUGUGAAGAACUUGGAAGCCAAUUCGAGCAUGAUUACAAGCCACGACACGAACUAACCAGAUGUUAAAUACACCUAUGUACCUACGUUAAAUAAAAUUAUUUGGCGAUUAA